rnacentral:rRNA from 1 species
UACGGAGGGGGCUAGCGUUGUUCGGAAUUACUGGGCGUAAAGCGCACGUAGGCGGCUUUGUAAGUUAGAGGUGAAAGCCCAGGGCUUAACCCUGGAAUUGCCUUUAAGACUGCAUCGCUAGAAUCGUGGAGAGGUGAGUGGAAUUCCGAGUGUAGAGGUGAAAUUCGUAGAUAUCGCAAGAACACCAGUGGCGAAGGCGGCUUACUGGACCAUAACUGACGCUGAGGCACGAAAGCGUGGGUAGCAAACAGG